UGCGCAGGCGGGUUUGUAAGUCAGUGGUGAAAUCCUGCCGCUUAACGGUAGAAUUGCCAUUGAUACUGCGAAUCUUGAGUAUGGUUGAGGUAGGCGGAAUGUGUAGUGUAGCGGUGAAAUGCACAGAUAUUACACAGAACUCCGAUUGCGAAGGCAGCUUACUAAGCCAUAACUGACGCUGAGGCACGAAAGCGUGGGGAGCGAACAGGAUUAGAUACCCUGGUAGUCC
rnacentral:rRNA from 1 species